rnacentral:rRNA from 1 species
AUUGAACGCUGGCGGCAUGCCUUACACAUGCAAGUCGAACGGCAGCACGGGGCAACCUGGUGGCGAGUGGCGAACGGGUGAGUAAUGUAUCGGAACGUACCAUUGAGUGGGGGAUAACGUAGCGAAAGUUACGCUAAUACCGCAUAUACCCUGAGGGAGAAAGCAGGGGAUAGCAAGACCUUGUGCUCUUUGAGCGGCCGAUAUCAGAUUAGCUAGUUGGUGAGGUAAAGGCUCCCCAAGGCGACGAUCUGUAGCGGGUCUGAGAGGAUGAUCCGCCACACUGGGACUGAGACACGGCCCAGACUCCUACGGGAGGCAGCAGUGGGGAAUUUUGGACAAUGGGCGCAAGCCUGAUCCAGCCAUGCCGCGUGAGUGAAGAAGGCCUUCGGGUUGUAAAGCUCUUUCGGCCGGGAAGAAAUCGUACAGGUUAAUACCCUGUGUGGAUGACGGUACCGGAAUAAGAAGCACCGGCUAACUACGUGCCAGCCGCCGCAGUAACAC